AUCCUUUCAUAGUUCAUAAGCAUGAUGAUUGAGUUUUCACGCUAUGUGUAAGAUGUGCCUCCAUCAAUCCUUGUUAGGAUGUUGGCAUAUUACCCACUUGAUG
ensembl:snoRNA